AUUGAACGCUGGCGGCAUGCCUUACACAUGCAAGUCGAACGGUAACGCGGGGCAACCUGGCGACGAGUGGCGAACGGGUGAGUAACGCAUCGGAACGUGCCCAGUAGUGGGGGAUAGCCCGGCGAAAGCCGGAUUGAUACCGCAUACGACCUACGGGUGAAAGGGGGGGAUCGCAAGACCUCUCGCUAUUGGCGCGGCCGAUGUCAGAUUAGGUAGUUGGUGGGGUAAAGGCCUACCAAGCCGACGAUCUGUAGCUGGUCUGAGAGGACGACCAGCCACACUGGGACUGAGACACGGCCCAGACUCCUACGGGAGGCAGCAGUGGGGAAUUUUGGACAAUGGGCGAAAGCCUGAUCCAGCCAUGCCGCGUGCGGGAAGAAGGCCUUCGGGUUGUAAACCGCUUUUGUCAGGGAAGAAAUCUUCUGGGUUAAUACCUCGGGAGGAUGACGGUACCUGAAGAAUAAGCACCGGCUAACUAUGUGCCAGCAGCCGCCGUAA
rnacentral:rRNA from 1 species